rnacentral:rRNA from 1 species
GACGAACGCUGGCGGCGUGCUUAACACAUGCAAGUCGAACGGAAAGGCCCUGCUUUUGUGGGGUGCUCGAGUGGCGAACGGGUGAGUAACACGUGAGUAACCUGCCCUUGACUUUGGGAUAACUUCAGGAAACUGGGGCUAAUACCGGAUAGGAGCUCCUGCUGCAUGGUGGGGGUUGGAAAGUUUCGGCGGUUGGGGAUGGACUCGCGGCUUAUCAGCUUGUUGGUGGGGUAGUGGCUUACCAAGGCUUUGACGGGUAGCCGGCCUGAGAGGGUGACCGGCCACAUUGGGACUGAGAUACGGACCAGACUCCUACGGGAGGCAGCAGUGGGGAAUAUUGCACAAUGGGCGGACGCCUGAUGCAGCAACGCCGCGUGCGGGAUGACGGCCUUCGGGUUGUAAACCGCUUUCGCCUGUGACGAAGCGUGCGUGACGGUAAUGGGUAAAGAAGCAACGGCUAACUACGUG